CAGUAGCCGCGGGAAUACGAAGGGUGCAAGCGUUAAUCGGAAUUACUGGGCGUAAAGCGUGCGUAGGCGGUGAGUUAAGUCUGCUGUGAAAUCCCCGGGCUCAACCUGGGAACUGCGCUUGUGACUGCACAGCUAGAGUAUGGCAGAGGGGGGUGGAAUUCCACGUGUAGCAGUGAAAUGCGUAGAGAUGUGGAGGAACACCGAUGGCGAAGGCAGCCCCCUGGGCCAAUACUGACGCUCAUGCACGAAAGCGUGGGGGGCAAACAGGAUUAGAUACCCCCGUAGUCCCUGUCUCUUAUAU
rnacentral:rRNA from 1 species